rnacentral:lncRNA from 1 species
CUCCGUUAGACCCUCCCCCCAGGCCCGGCUCCCUCUGCGCAUGGCAGGCCCAGAUCAGCAGCUCUGAUCCAGAUUUCAGAGCAGGGGAUUGUGGAAGACAUAGAGACUUAGCUCCAGCCAAGCUCCGCUAUCUUCCUAGCAGAAAACCUUCAAGGAGCCUCACAUUUUCCAUCUGAAGCUAGAGAGAAUAACUGCCCUGCCUCACUCCCAUGUCAGAGGAAAAAUAACACCAUAGAGUGGAAAGAAAAACUACCUGAUGAGAGAAAGUAUUUGUGACACACAGGAUUCAAAUCUAAAGGAACUAUGACUUAUAGCAAUUUGUAAGCAGAAUUGAAGCAUUUACCUUUUUCUCCCUAUCUGAUCCCUCCAGAAUUUGAAAACUCUUGAUGAAUGAUCCAAAAGACCCAGAGAGAAUUCAAAUUAAAGAACCAGACAUGCUCAGAUGUUCCUCUGCAUCAUCUCUAUAGUGGAGACUGAAUCCUAUUAAAAUACCGGAAACACAAGCACCCGGAAGAUCAAUUUCAUCUCUGCUGAAUGGGACCAUACAAGCAAUGCCACAGGAAACAGGAAUCAUGCCAUAGAAGAACAUCGCAACAGGAUCACCCAAACCUUGGCUGGCUUCAUACUCUACACACUGACUUCUCCAAAUGGACGAGUGAACCUCUAAUAGAUCUCAAGUUGCUGUACAGAAGAUGGUCCCCUAAAAGUACGUAAUGAAUGACCCCCACAUUCUUACCUUACUUGUUGGACUAUUAGACAGCCGGCUAUUUGUCUACAUUGGAUUUCACCUGAGGUUCCAGGCCCUAACCUUGGUUGGUUUACAGGCUUCUUCUCCUCAGUUCCCCAAGGAUUAAUAUCCAUUAUGGAGGGGAUACUAAAAUUUGGGCUGUGAUUUUGCUAAUACGUGUGGUUGUCUAUGUAAUUAUAAAAUGUGGACUUAAGUGUUCUUCCAAAACCAUUGAUCAGAAUACUAAAAUAUUAGUCACGCAGGACAUACCUUGCUCUCCUCUGCCUGGUACCCAAGAAUAUUUUUUUAAUAAAGAUUUUAUUUUUUUCCUUUUUCUCCCCAAAGCCCCCCCAGUACAUAGUUGUAUAUUCUUAGUUGUGGGUCCUUCUAGUUUGGCAUGUGGGACGCUGUCUCAUGUGGUUUAUAUGAGCAAUGCCAUGUCCGCACACAGGAUUUGAACCAACGAAACACUGGGGUGCCUGCAGCAGAGCACGCGAACUUAACCACUUGGCCACGGGGCCAGCCCCCCAAGAAUAUUUUUAAAGUAAAGGUAGAACAAUUUCAUUCCUCUGACCUGGAACUUCACCCUUUCACAGCAGGAAGCAGCUGGAGCGGUCUUCAUCCCCAUUCCCCAAGAUUGACGAAUGAUCAAAAGAGAAGGGGGAUUGAAACUGAAGAUGAAGGAGUUAAAAUUUCCCUGGAUUAGGGUGAAACUGUGCCUUGUACCCACAAGGUUAACAUGGGAAACAAAAUAACCAAAGUUUCUGAGCUUGCCUUGCAGAACAGCAGGAGGACCACUGAUAAGAGAGGAACUUGCUGACAGCCCCCUGCCUGACUAAGCAUCUUGGAGGAACAUUGAGAAGCUAAAAUGACUGAUUGCAAACUUUAGAUAUCAAAGACUAAAGACUAAAAAGCCACCACUUGAAACAUGUAGAACAGACAGUCACACCUGUGCAGAGGACACUUAGAACUUCAGCCCAGAAGGCCACAUGCCCCCCUCCCCUACCUAAAACCCCAAACAAAAACUCUUGCUUGUAGCUUUUUGGAAGUUCAAAAUUACAGUGUUAGCUGCCCAUUCCCCUUGCUCAGUGUUUUGCAAUAAAAUUCCU